rnacentral:lncRNA from 12 species
AUGGGCCGGGUUCCUUUUCCUGCGGAUCCCGGUCCCAGGUCGUCGUUGGGGCGAGCAGGGACCGCAGCGGUGGCCCCGCGGGGUCCGCACCGCGAGGCGGCGGCCGGGAGGAGCGGCGGACCCCGGGGACGCGCGCUCGCGGCGGAGGGGGACCCCCGGCGGGGCGCCUCGGGGCCGAGCGGCAUUGACUGCCCUUCACCGGCGCGCGACGGAGACGAGGGGAUGAGCCGGGGGCUCGAGGCCCGCGGGCGCCGGGUCCCCGGGAGGCUCGGCCCGGACGCCCCCUCGCCCCCGCGGACGGAGGCGCCCCGCUCGGCCGGCCGGGGCUGCGGACGCGCGUUCAGCCCGCAGCCCGUGCAGCCGCCGCCACCCGCUCGGCCCGCCGCGGCGUCCCGGCCUCCCCGCGCCGGCCACCGGCCGCCCCACCGGCCGCCCCGCCGCCGCCCCCGGGAGGAUGGGAAGGACGACGCGCAGGGGCGGCGGGUGCCGCGCCUCCCGGGCGAAGGCUGCAGGGCGGCCCGAGGGACGCGCGCCCCGGGCGGCCAUCGCGCCGACCCCCGCCCCCGCCCCCGCCCCCGCCGCCGCCGCCCCCGCCGCCCGGUCCAGCCUGCUCCUCACCUCAUCUCCGGGCGGGUCCGCGCUGCCGCCCCAGGGACAAAUCAGUGCAGCUCACUCGCCGCGGGGAGGGACGCAGGAGCCGCAGCCCCGCACACCAUCCCCGCCCGCCCGUGCGCCCGUGCGCCCCGGAGCCCGCUCGGGAUUCUCCCUCGCGAGCCGCCGUACUACGGAGCAACCAAGCUGCGCUCCCUCCCCUCUCCUCCGCUCCUCUCUACCUCCUUCGCUCCCUCCCUCGCUCCCUCGCUCCCACCUAUCUCCUCAUCUCCCUCCGCCGCCUCUCCCGCCCCCGUCCCGGCCACCAUCUCCGCCCACGGAUGGGUGGGAGCCGGCACUCGCCAAUCGCAAGAAGGCGCUCGCGCCUCCUCACCGCCCCCUGCCGCUGCCCCCGCCCACCGCGGGAACGAGGCGGGGGCAACUAAAAAAAAAAUGGAAGAGCACGGAGUGACAGCCACGUGA